GAAUAGGAAGUAUCAGGGAGGGGGAGUGCAUUGGUUUCUGCUCCCUACCCGCUUAUCAUACAUCUUUCAGCGCCUUUAUGUAAAUCCAGUGGAGCGAUUUGAAUUGCCAGGUGGCCAAGUUGAAAAAGAGGCAUCCCAGAAUGCCAUUGGCUGGGGCUACGUGUCAUUGCUACCGUCUCAAGCUAAGCUCGCCUUACAGAAAAGGCUUUUGUGCCUGCUAAGAGGCAUUGUUUUCCGGCCACACUCCAGACACUCCCAACCAAGAAUUUAUUAUCAUGCCACCUCACUGUACCUACAAAUCUUGGUCUUUUGAAAAGGGUUGUCUUGUGGCUCAGAUGAUGAGUCUUGGACCUGGGCCAUGGGAUGAGUCUUCUGAGAGCUGCCAUAUUUUAUCAGGUUACAGGUUGCUAAGAUGGACUUUUGACCCUCCUGUGCAAAACUUCCUGAGCAAGAACCAUGGCUUUUCGACUGAUACGCUGGCAUGUCAUGCUAAAUUUC